GCGGACGUAGUUUAAUGGUAAAACUGCAGCUUCCCAAGCUGCUGUCGCGGGUUCGAUUCCCGUCGUCCGCU
rfam:Actinomyces marimammalium strain DSM 15383 Scaffold9, whole genome shotgun sequence.